UGCCCGAUUGGUUUACUGAAGAAUGCCUAC
rnacentral:piRNA from 1 species